UCGAGUGGCGGACGGGUGAGUAACGCGUGAACAAUCUGUCUCAAGCAGGGGGAUAACACUUGGAAACAGGUGCUAAUACCGCAUAAGACCACAGUGCCGCAUGGCACAGGGGUAAAAGGAGCAAUCCGGGUUGAGGUGAGUUCGCGUCCGAUUAGAUAGUUGGUGAGGUAACGGCCCACCAAGUCGACGAUCGGUAGCCGACCUGAGAGGGUGAUCGGCCACAUUGGAACUGAGAGACGGUCCAAACUCCUACGGGAGGCAGCAGUGGGGAAUAUUGGGCAAUGGGCGAAAGCCUGACCCAGCAACGCCGCGUGAGUGAAGGAGGCCUUCGGGUUGUAAAGCUCUGUGAUCGGGGACGAAGGAAGUGACGGUACCCGAAGAGGAAGCCCCGGCUAACUACGUGCCAGCAGCCGCGGUAAUACGUAGGGGGCGAGCGUUGUCCGGAAUGACUGGGCGUAAAGGGCGUGUAGGCGGCCGAUUAAGUCCGGAGUGAAAGUCCUGCUUUCAAGGUGGGAAUUGCUUUGGAGACUGGUUGGCUUGAGUGCGGAAGAGGUAAGUGGAAUUCCCAGUGUAGCGGUGAAAUGCGUAGAGAUUGGGAGGAACACCAGUGGCGAAGGCGACUUACUGGGCCGUAACUGACGCUGAGGCGCGAAAGCGUGGGGAGCGAACAGGAUUAGAUACCCUGGUAGUCCACGCUGUAAACGAUGAAUGCCAGGUGUUGCGGGUAUCGACCCCUGCAGUGCCGGAGUAAACACAAUAAGCAUUCCGCCUGGGGAGUACGGCCGCAAGGUUGAAACUCAAAGGAAUUGACGGGGGCCCGCACAAGCAGCGGAGCAUGUUGUUUAAUUCGAAGCAACGCGAAGAACCUUACCAUGUCUUGACAUCGAGGAAAAGUCACAGAGAUGUGAUGUGCCCUUCGGGGCGCCGAAGACAGGUGGUGCAUGGUUGUCGUCAGCUCGUGUCGUGAGAUGUUGGGUUAAGUCCCGCAACGAGCGCAACCCUUAUGGUCAGUUACUAACGCGUGAUGGCGAGGACUCUGACAAGACUGCCGGGGACAACUCGGAGGAAGGUGGGGACGACGUCAAAUCAUCAUGCCCCUUAUGACAUGGGCUACAAACGUGCUACAAUGGUGGCUACAAAGAGGAGCGAACCCGUAAGGGUGGGCAGAUCUCAAAAAAGCCAUCUCAGUUCGGACUGUGGGCUGCAACCCGCCCACACGAAGUUGGAGUUGCUAGUAAUCGCGGAUCAGCAUGCCGCGGUGAAUACGUUCCCGGGCCUUGUACACACCGCCCGUCACACCACGGGAGUUGGGAGCGCCCGAAGCCGGUGAGCGAACCGAAAGGGAGCAGCCG
rnacentral:rRNA from 1 species